rnacentral:rRNA from 1 species
GGGUCAGUAGGUUGGUCGUGCCACCGGUACGUACUGGUCUCACUGAUUCCUCCUUCCUGAAGAACCGUAAUGCCAUUAAUUUGGUGUUGCGGGGAAACAGGACUGUUACUUUGAAAAAAUUAGAGUGUUUAAAGCAAGCUAACGCUUGAAUACAUUAGCAUGGAAUAUGAAAUAGGACGAUCGAUCCUAUUUUGUUGGUUUCUAGGAUUGACGUA